rnacentral:rRNA from 1 species
GAUGAACGCUGGCGGCGUGCCUAAUACAUGCGAGUCGAGCGAACAGACGAGGAUCUUGCUCCUCUGACGUUAGCGGCGGACGGGUGAUGAACACGUGGAUAACCUACCUAUAAGACUGGGAUAACUUCGGGAAACCGGAUCUAAUACCGGAUAAUAUAUUGAACCGCAUGGUUCAAUAGUGAAAGACGGUUUUGCUGUCACUUAUAGAUGGAUCCGCGCCGCAUUAGCUAGUUGGUAAGGUAACGGCUUACCAAGGCGACGAUGCGUAGCCGACCUGAGAGGGUGAUCAGCCACACUGGAACUGAGACACGGUCCAGACUCCUACGGGAGGCAGCAGUAGGGAAUCUUCCGCAAUGGGCGAAAGCCUGACGGAGCAACGCCGCGUGAGUGAUGAAGGUCUUCGGAUCGUAAAACUCUGUUAUUAGGGAAGAACAAAUGUGUAAGUAACUAUGCACGUCUUGACGGUACCUAAUCAGAAAGCCACGGCUAACUACGUG